rnacentral:rRNA from 1 species
UACGUAGGGGGCAAGCGUUAUCCGGAUUUACUGGGUGUAAGGGGAGCGUAGACGGCGAUGCAAGUCUGAAGUGAAAGGCGGGGGCCCAACCCCCGGACUGCUUUGGAAACUGUAUGGCUGGAGUGCAGGAGAGGUAAGUGGAAUUCCUAGUGUAGCGGUGAAAUGCGUAGAUAUUAGGAGGAACACCGGUGGCGAAGGCGGCUUACUGGACUGUAACUGACGUUGAGGCUCGAAAGCGUGGGGAGCAAACAGG